rnacentral:rRNA from 1 species
UGGCGACCGGCGCACGGGUGAGUAACGCGUAUCCAACCUGCCCUUUUACUAUGGGACAGCCCGUCGAAAGGCGGAUUAAUACCGUAUGUUGUCAUGUUGAUGCAUAUUUUCAUGACCAAAGGCUUCGGCCGGUAAAGGAUGGGGAUGCGUCUGAUUAGCUUGCCGGCGGGGUAACGGCCCACCGGGGCGACGAUCAGUAGGGGUUCUGAGAGGAAGGUCCCCCACAUUGGAACUGAGACACGGUCCAAACUCCUACGGGAGGCAGCAG